rnacentral:rRNA from 1 species
GACGAACGCUGGCGGCGUGCCUAAUACAUGCAAGUAGAACGCAGUUGCGAACGGGUGAGUAACGCGUAGGUAACUGCCUCAUUGCGGGGGAUAACUAUUUGAAACUAUAGCUAAUACCGCUUACUGUGAGAUGGACCUGCGUGGUAUUAUCCAGUUGGUGAGGUAAAUGCUCACCAAGGCGACGAUACAUAGCCGACCUGAGAGGGUGAUCGGCCAAGAGUGUACCGAGACACGGCCCGAAUUCCUACGGGGGGCAGCAGAAGGGAAUCUAAGGCAAUGGGCGGAAGUAUGAGCGAGAAACGCCGCGUGAGUGAAGAAGUUUUUCGAAUCAUAAAGCUCUGUUGUUAGAGAAGCGGUAACUAACCAGAAAGGGACGGCUAGCUACGUGCCUGAAGCCUCGGUAAUAC